ensembl:snRNA U6 U6 spliceosomal RNA
GCUCACUUCGGCAGCAUAUACUAAAAUUGGAACGAUACAGAGAAGAUUAGCAGGGACCCUGCACAAGGAUGAUACACAAAUUCAUGAAGCAUUCCAUAUUUUU